AUUGAACGCUGGCGGCAGGCCUAACACAUGCAAGUCGAACGGUAACAGGAAGAAGCUUGCUUCUUUGCUGACGAGUGGCGGACGGGUGAGUAAUGUCUGGGAAACUGCCUGAUGGAGAGGGAUAACUACUGGAAACGGUAGCUAAUACCGCAUAACGUCGCAAGACCAAAGAGGGGGACCUUCGGGCCUCUUGCCAUCGGAUGUGCCCAGAUGGGAUUAGCUAGUAGGUGGGGUAACGGCUCACCUAGUCGACGAUCCCUAGCUGGUCUGAGAGGAUGACCAGCCACACUGGAACUGAGACACGGUCCAGACUCCUACGGGAGGCAGCAGUGGGGAAUAUUGCACAAUGGGCGCAAGCCUGAUGCAGCCAUGCCGCGUGUAUGAAGAAGGCCUUCGGGUUGUAAAGUACUUUCAGCGGGGAGGAAGGGAGUAAAGUUAAUACCUUUGCUCAUUGACGUUACCCGCAGAAGAAGCACCGGCUAACUCCGUG
rnacentral:rRNA from 1 species